rnacentral:rRNA from 1 species
UACGAACUGUGCAAACGUUAUUCGGAAUCACUGGGCUUAAAGGGUGCGUAGGCGGUCUUGUAAGUAGGGUGUGAAAGCCCCCGGCUCAACCGGGGAACUGCGUCCUAAACUGCGAGGCUUGAGUGAGGUAGGGGUGUGUGGAACUUCCAGUGGAGCGGUGAAAUGUGUUGAUAUUGGAAGGAACGCCGGUGGCGAAAGCGACACACUGGACCGUGUCUGACGCUGAGGCACGAAAGCCAGGGGAGCAAACGGG